UGUUCAGUUUCUGUUAAUUGAUUCUCAUGGGAAACUUGCAGAUUCUGGCUUCACACAAUUAACUCAAGGCAGUGUCAAUUUACUCUUGGCAGAAAGCCAAGGUCUGCUUGACCUAGAAACUACUUACUCUGAUUGGUUAACGACCAGCACUCAACUCUGUUAUCUAGGAAUGCUAGCACAGUUUGGGGUGUGGUGUGUUAGGAGAAGGAGUUAGAAGUGCUGUGUAUGGUUAUGAGAGAGAGAGAGAAAGAAAGGAUUUAUUUGCUUUGUUUUGUAUGCAGAAACUCUGCUGGUUUUAUUUUUUUUUUUCCUUUUAAUAAAUCCUGUAAAUAGU